rnacentral:rRNA from 1 species
UACAGAGGGUGCAAGCGUUAAUCGGAAUUACUGGGCGUAAAGCGCGCGUAGGUGGUUUGUUAAGUUGGAUGUGAAAUCCCCGGGCUCAACCUGGGAACUGCGCUUGUGACUGCAAGGCUAGAGUACGGCAGAGGGGGGUGGAAUUCCACGUGUAGCAGUGAAAUGCGUAGAGAUGUGGAGGAACACCGAUGGCGAAGGCAAUCCCCUGGGCCUGCACUGACGCUCAUGCACGAAAGCGUGGGGAGCAAACAGG